rnacentral:misc_RNA from 1 species
AAAUAUCAACCUUGACAAGCUUGGGUUUUGUGCUCUAGUCUUGGCUUGGAAUUGGGUGCUUGCCGCUUUUACGAGCGGCUCACCUUAAAUGUAUUAGCUGGAUCUGUCUUUGAGACUUGGUUUGACUUGGCGUAAUAAGUAUUUCGCUAAGACAUUCUUCGGAGUGGCCUCGUUUCUAGGACGCUUGUCCGCUUCCCAAUACAAGUUCCACCUCGUGGACAUGACUUUUUUAUU